UAGCCUGUAGUCUAGUGGCUAUGAUGCAUGACUUGGACUCUUGAGGUUGGUGGCUCAAGCCCCAGUCCAG